rfam:Gossypium raimondii chromosome 2, whole genome shotgun sequence.
AACCCAUGGUGAGGGCACCUUCCCAAUAAAUCCUUAUACCUCUCCCAUGCAUCAUAUAAGGUUUCUAAGUCGAUUUGAAUGAAAGAAGAGAUAUCAUUCUUCAACUU